GUUUGCUUUGGCCGCACAUAUACUAAAAUUGGAAUGAUACAGAGAAGAUCAGCGUGAGCCCUGAGCAAGAUGACAUGCAAAGUCAUGAAGCGUUCCAUAUUUUU
ensembl:snRNA U6 U6 spliceosomal RNA